CUGGCCUCAAACUCACUGAGAUCCACCUGCCUCUGCCUCCCAAGUGCUAGGGUUAAAUGCCUGUGGCAGUACAUCUGGCUUCUAUUAACAGUUUCAGUUGUUACAACUGUGUGUGGGGACACUGCACACACGUGGAGGCAGACCUCAGUCUGUCAGGAGUACCAGUACUUCCAGAACCAACUCCACGGCUACACUCGAUCUUGCCUCCGGUGUUUCCCAGGACGUGAAACCAUCCCAUCCAUGGCUCCUUCCCAGCACCGGAGACGAGAGUGGAAACAGGAGAUAAGGGAAGGUAAUUUGGUCUGUCAGUUGCGCACACAGAAGACGUCAUGGUCAACUGCAUUAAUACUGAAUACUUUGUCCAGAGUCAUAGAGCUAAAAGAAAUUACAGCAUCUCACUGCUGUGAAUUCUGGCAUGUCUCUCGGCAGGCCUUCCCCACCUGAAUUCACAAGAGAUGCUGAGAAUGAAGGCAGGCUUCCCUCUGGGACUUCAUUUGGCGUCCACAGCUAGUCUCUUCUCUGCUCCAUCCUUCUGGACUCUUAACACGAUCCCCUUUCUCAGGACUCAGGAGGCCACCUGUGCGUACCUCUGGCUCCAGACUUUGCUGGGCCUUUUCCUGCCUCGGCUAGUUCUUUGUUAACACACAUAGGUCAAAACCAACCUCUUACAAGCGACUUCUUCAGGGUACUGUGCAACCCCCCCCCAUCCCUUGCCUCCUUUCCUUCUGUCCCUGUGUAUCACACAGGAACUCCGUGCAGUGGCAAUGAGUGUGUCCUGUGCCUGUGCCUUCCCCCUAACACCCAGGGUUUGCUUGGAUGAGAGACUCCCCGGGCCGGGCAUGGGGCCUGGCUAUGC